ensembl:lncRNA
UUUUUAUGUCAAAUACAUGUAAUCGAAAACUGCCCAUCUCUGGUUGGGUCAUAGUAGGGAGUGAUUGUCGAUCAAUAUUGACUUGGUAGGGCGUCAUCACGUGUCUCAACCAAUGAGAGCAUUUGGGGGCGGGCCUAAGACUUCUGCACCGCUCUUAUGAACCGAAACAGAAGAGAACUGGCGGAGGAAUGGAGAAAGGUUGUUGCACCCUGCAGGAACAGAUGUGGACAGAACCAGGUUAACUCUGUCAUGGAAGUACAUCUUCCCCC